GACAGAGGAUGCAAGCGUUAUCCGGAAUGAUUGGGCGUAAAGCGUCUGUGGGUGGCUUUUUAAGUCCGCCGUCAAAUCCCAGGGCUCAACCCUGGACAGGCGGUGGAAACUACCAAGCUGGAGUACGGUAGGGGCAGAGGGAAUUUCCGGUGGAGCGGUGAAAUGCGUAGAGAUUGGGAAGAACACCAGUGGCGAAGGCGGCUAUCUGGACGGUUUCUGACGCUAAGACGCGAAAGCGUGGGGAGCAAACAGG
rnacentral:rRNA from 1 species